UACGAAGGGGGCUAGCGUUGCUCGGAAUUACUGGGCGUAAAGCGCACGUAGGCGGUCUUUUAAGUCGGUGGUGAAAUCCUGGAGCUCAACUCCAGAACUGCCUUUGAUACUGAAGAUCUUGAGUUCGGGAGAGGUGAGUGGAACUGCGAGUGUAGAGGUGAAAUUCGUAGAUAUUCGCAAGAACACCAGUGGCGAAGGCGGCUCACUGGCCCGAUACUGACGCUGAGGCACGAAAGCGUGGGGAGCAAACAGG
rnacentral:rRNA from 1 species